rnacentral:rRNA from 1 species
AAGUCCCGCAACGAGCGCAACCCUUGUUUGCUGUUGCCAUCAGGUAAUGCUGGGCACUCUGCAAAGACUGCCGGUGAUAAACCGGAGGAAGGUGGGGAUGACGUCAAGUCAGCAUGGCCUUUAUGUCUGGGGCUACACACGUGCUACAAUGGCCGAUACAAACCGUCGCGAGCCCGCAAGGGGGAGCUAAUCGGAGAAAGUCGGUCUCAGUUCGGAUAGCAGGCUGCAAGGGGAACUGCUUGAAGUUGGAAUCGCUAGUAAUCGCGGAUCAGCACGCCGCGGUGAAUACGUUCCCGGGCCUUGUCCACGCCGCCCGUCACAUCACGAAAGCCGGUUGUAC